AACUUUUAACAACGGAUCUCUUGGUUCUGGCAUCGAUGAAGAGCGCAGCGAAAUGCGAUAAGUAAUGUGAAUUGCAGAAUUCAGUGAAUCAUCGAAUCUUUGAACGCACAUUGCGCCCCCUGGCAUUCCGGGGGGCAUGCCCGUUCGAGCGUC
rnacentral:rRNA from 1 species